rnacentral:rRNA from 1 species
UACAGAGGGUGCGAGCGUUAAUCGGAAUUACUGGGCGUAAAGCGCACGUAGGCGGCUUGGUAUGUCGGGUGUGAAAUCCCCGGGCUCAACCUGGGAACUGCAUCCGAAACUGCCUUGCUCGAGUAUGGGAGAGGGAAGUGGAAUUUCCGGUGUAGCGGUGAAAUGCGUAGAUAUCGGAAGGAACAUCAGUGGCGAAGGCGACUUCCUGGACCAAUACUGACGAUCAGGUGCGAAAGAGUGGGGAGCAAACAGG